AUGCGUGUUGGAAAUGGUUCCAAGGUCGAUGUGAUUGUCGUUGGCAUGCUACCUCUACAUCUACCUUCGGGAUUAGUUUUAGACCUGAAUAAUUGUUAUUUGGUGCCAGCGUUGAGCAUGAACAUUAUAUCUGGAUCUUGUUUAGUGCGACACGGUUAUUCAUUUAAAUCAGAGAAUAAUGAUUGUUCUAUUUAUAUGUAUAAUAUCUUUUAUGGUCAUGCACCCUUGAAGAGUGGUCUAUUUCUGUUGAAUCUCAAUUGUGGUGAUACACAUAUUCAUAAUAUUGAUGCCAAAAGAUGCAAAGUUGAUAAUGAUAGUGCAAUAUAUUUGUGGCACUGCCAUUUAGGUCAUAUUGGUGUAAAGCGCAUGAAAAAACUCCAUGCAGAUGGAAUUUUGGAAUCACUUGAUUAUGAAUCAUUUGAUACUUGCGAACCAUGCCUCAUGGGCAAGAUGACUAAAACUUCGUUCUCCAGAACAAUGGAGCAAGCUAAUGACUUACUGGAAAUAAUACAUACUGAUGUAUGUGGUCCGAUGAGUGCCGAGGCACGCGACGGGUAUCGUUAUUUUCUAACUUCACAGAUGAUUUGA
rnacentral:rRNA from 1 species